UACGUAGGGGGCAAGCGUUGUCCGGAUUUAUUGGGCGUAAAGAGCGUGUAGGCGGCCUGACAGGUCUGCUGUGAAAACUCGAGGCUCAACCUCGAGAUGUCGGCGGAAACCGUCUGGCUAGAGUCCGGAAGAGGAGAGUGGAAUUCCUGGUGUAGCGGUGAAAUGCGCAGAUAGUCAGGAAGAACACCCGUGGCGAAGGCGGCUCGCUGGGACGGUACUGACGCUGAGGCGCGAAAGCGUGGGGAGCGAACAGG
rnacentral:rRNA from 1 species